CUCAGAUUGAACGCUGGCGGCAGGCCUAACACAUGCAAGUCGAGCGGUAGAGAGAAGCUUGCUUCUCUUGAGAGCGGCGGACGGGUGAGUAAAGCCUAGGAAUCUGCCUGGUAGUGGGGGAUAACGUUCGGAAACGGACGCUAAUACCGCAUACGUCCUACGGGAGAAAGCAGGGGACCUUCGGGCCUUGCGCUAUCAGAUGAGCCUAGGUCGGAUUAGCUAGUUGGUGAGGUAAUGGCUCACCAAGGCGACGAUCCGUAACUGGUCUGAGAGGAUGAUCAGUCACACUGGAACUGAGACACGGUCCAGACUCCUACGGGAGGCAGCAGUGGGGAAUAUUGGACAAUGGGCGAAAGCCUGAUCCAGCCAUGCNNNGUGUGUGAAGAAGGUCUUCGGAUUGUAAAGCACUUUAAGUUGGGAGGAAGGGCAGUUACCUAAUACGUGAUUGUUUUGACGUUACCGACAGAAUAAGCACCGGCUAACUCUGUGCCAGCA
rnacentral:rRNA from 1 species